AUUUGUUUAAUAUAUAAGUAUAUUUGACUUCCAAUCAAAAAGUCUGAAUAAUUCAGAACAAAUA
rnacentral:tRNA from 1 species